GACGAACGAUGGCGGCGUGCUUAACACAUGCAAGUCGAACGAAGUGGCGAACGGGUGAGUAACGAGUAAUCAACCUGCCCUUCAGAGGGGGACAACAGUUGGAAACGACUGCUAAUACCGAAUACUGCAGGAGGGGAUUGCGUCGGACUAGCUAGUUGGAGGGGUAACGGCCCAACAGGGCGAUUAUCAGGAGCCGGUCUGAGGGGAUGAACUGCCACAUUGGGACUGAGACACGGCCCAGACUCCUACGGGAGGCAGCAGUAGGGAAUCGUCCGCAAUAGACGAAAGUCUGACGGUGCAACGCCGCGUGAGUGAUGACGGCCUUCGGGUUGUAAAGCUCUGUUAAUCGGGACGCGGUACCGGAAUAGAAAGCCACGGCUAACUACGUGCCAGCAGCCGCGGUAAUAC
rnacentral:rRNA from 1 species